AGUCGAGCAGAAACGAGUUAACUGACCCUUCGGGUGACGUUAACGGCGUCGAGCGGCGGACGGGUGAGUAAUGCCUGGGAAUAUGCCUUGAUGUGGGGGAAACCAUUGGAAACGAUGGCUAAUACCGCAUAAUCUCUACGGAGCAAAGAGGGGGACCUUCGGGCCUCUCGCGUCAAGAUUAGCCCAGGUGGGAUUAGCUAGUUGGUGAGGUAAAGGCUCACCAAGGCGACGAUCCCUAGCUGGUCUGAGAGGAUGAUCAGCCACACUGGAACUGAGACACGUCCAGACUCCUACGGAGCAGCAGUGGGGAAUAUUGCAC
rnacentral:rRNA from 1 species